GCGUGAGUGAUGAAGGCCUUAGGGUCGUAAAGCUCUUUCGCCUGUGAUGAUAAUGACAGUAGCAGGUAAAGAAACCCCGGCUAACUCCGUGCCAGCAGCCGCGGUAAUACGGAGGGGGUAGCGUUGUUCGGAAUUACUGGGCGUAAAGCGCGCGUAGGCGGAUUAGAAAGUUGGGGGUGAAAUCCCGGGGCUCAACCUCGGAACUGCCUCCAAAACUGCUAGUCUAGAGUUCGAGAGAGGUGAGUGGAAUUCCGAGUGUAGAGGUGAAAUUCGU
rnacentral:rRNA from 1 species